AUACGGAGGGGGCUAGCGUUGUUCGGAAUUACUGGGCGUAAAGCGCACGUAGGCGGCGAUUUAAGUCAGAGGUGAAAGCCCGGGGCUCAACCCCGGAACUGCCUUUGAGACUGGAUUGCUUGAACAUCGGAGAGGUGAGUGGAAUUCCGAGUGUAGAGGUGAAAUUCGUAGAUAUUCGGAAGAACACCAGUGGCGAAGGCGGCUCACUGGACGAUUGUUGACGCUGAGGUGCGAAAGCGUGGGGAGC
rnacentral:rRNA from 1 species